rnacentral:rRNA from 1 species
AUUGAACGCUGGCGGCAGGCCUAACACAUGCAAGUCGAGCGGUAGCACAGAGAGCUUGCUCUCGGGUGACGAGCGGCGGACGGGUGAGUAAUGUCUGGGAAACUGCCUGAUGGAGGGGGAUAACUACUGGAAACGGUAGCUAAUACCGCAUAAUGUCGCAAGACCAAAGAGGGGGACCUUCGGGCCUCUUGCCAUCAGAUGUGCCCAGAUGGGAUUAGCUAGUAGGUGGGGUAAUGGCUCACCUAGGCGACGAUCCCUAGCUGGUCUGAGAGGAUGACCAGCCACACUGGAACUGAGACACGGUCCAGACUCCUACGGGAGGCAGCAGUGGGGAAUAUUGCACAAUGGGCGCAAGCCUGAUGCAGCCAUGCCGCGUGUGUGAAGAAGGCCUUCGGGUUGUAAAGCACUUUCAGCGAGGAGGAAGGCAUUAAGGUUAAUAACCUUAGUGAUUGACGUUACUCGCAGAAGAAGCACCGGCUAACUCCGUGCCAGCCGCCGCUGUAACAC